GGUCUUGUAGUGUAGCCUUAACAUUAAGGAUUGCAAAUCCUUAGAUGCAGAUAAAACUGCCAAGACUU
rnacentral:tRNA from 1 species